CCAGCAUGUCAAGAUGGGGACUCUAACGGGACUGCCGGUGCAAACCGCGAGGAAGGUGGGGACGACGUCAAAUCAUCACGGCCCUUACGUCNUGGGNUACACACGUGCUACAAUGGCCGGUACAGAGGGAAGCCACCCCGCGAGGGGGCGCGGAUCUACAAAACCGGUCACAGUUCGGAUCGGGGUCUGCAACUCGACCCCGUGAAGCUGGAAUCGCUAGUAAUCGGAUAUCAGCCAUGAUCCGGUGAAUACGUUCCCGGGCCUUGUACACACCGCCCGUCAAGCCAUGGAAGCCGGGAGUGCCUGAAGUCCGUCACCGCAAGGA
rnacentral:rRNA from 1 species